UACUACAGCGUUGGCCGGCUUCCGUCGUAGAGGUGCAGCAGCUCACCAGGAUUGGGGUGCUUGCUGGGGCCAUGGAACGGGCAGCUCGUGCAGGCUUCAAGACGACCUGGCCAGUGUGGCCGCAACCUGAG
rnacentral:rRNA from 8 species